rnacentral:lncRNA from 1 species
AACAUUCAGUGGAGCUCCUCUCCUCAAGAUGGGGAUGCCAACAAAGACAUAGGAUGUGGGCAAUGCUCGCAGAGUGGCAGGAGAGAGAGGAUGGAGCAGCUAGGUUCCGCACGAGAAAGAAAGAUCAGGUGAAUGCUUUCUCCUUUUUCUUAGCUUAAGCUAACGUGGCCAAGUGUGGGAUAUGGUGAAGUCUCGUUGUCCCACUGCAUUGUUGAUGUGGUACAUCGGGGGUAAAAUAUAAUUUCUCAUCAGCUUGAUGUAAGGGUAUGAUGCACGAGUGAAGGAUCCGAAGAACAUUCGAUCUAAGUGCAGCUAUGUGGCAUCUAUCUAUAUUGCACUGCCAUCAACAAUAUUUUGUCAAGUGAUCUCAUGAUGUUAAAAGAUUUGUGCUUGGAGUAGAUGUUGUGUUUAUCAAGAGCCAAAUAGAGUCGGGAUCUAAUAUGGUGUGUGUUUUGCAAUAUAUAGUGCUGUAUAGCACUAAAUAGCCACCACAUUAUCUAUUACAAAGAUAAAUGGUUAUCAUUCAUCUCAUAACACAUCAUCUUGAGCACCGAACGCAACCUAGUUCAGAUUCUUGAGAUGAACAACAAUCAUUUGUGGUCGAGAUAGAUGAUGCGGGGGCUAUUGGAGGUUGUAUAGCCCUUUGUGGUGCAAGACAGAGACCAUGAAGUUCCAAACUCAACCAAUUCUCUAAAACUAUAUUAUCCAACCAAAAAAUGACGGUAAGAUUAUGGGGUUUGCUUAGGAGCACUUACUUGGCUUGGGUGCAUGAAGCACAAAGGUGGGUAAAAUGGAAGGAUUAAUUAUUUUCUGAAUCAAGAUCUUUGCUGAACCUUUUUUACUGUCUUUUUACCAAAUGCCAAGGGAUAGCUCAGAUAGGGUUGGAGGCUGAGUGCUGAAGGAUUAAGAUUUAGCUUUUCCUUGUUUGAAAAAUUUGUAUCGAAAAUAUUGUGCGCUUUAAAGGCACAGAGUCUUCUUAGUUAAACUUAUUAAAUGAAAUUAAUUAGGUUAGAAUUUUCUGGAUGCUCUAUCUUCUCUUCGUACUUUGAUGCAUUAGCUAUAAAUUGAGAACUUCAUGUAGGCUUUGCAUUUCUUAUGGGCC